UUAAUCACGUCAGGUUUUUAAGAAUGAAGGCAGGUGAGUCACCACGCGCGUGAGGGGCGCGCACGGCCCCCGCUGAUCUCCAGGUAUUUGGGAAGGAGGACGCGGACGGAGUCGUGAUCUGUGCAGCGGAUUUUGCGCUACGGAGGACGGAACGGAACGGACUGAUGAACCAACAUGGGUCCAUUGCGGUGUGAUGGGCGGCUGGCACACCUCCUCUUUCCUCUUCUCCUCCUUCUGCGUGCGCCACUCUUACUCAGUUUUGGUGAGCGCACCUGCCCCAAUAGUUGUCGAUGUGAAGGAAAAACUGUCCAUUGUGACUCAUCUGGCUUCUUGGAUGUCCCAGAAAACAUCUCGGUAGGCUGCCAAGGUCUUUCCCUCCGCUACAAUGAGCUACACACCCUGCUACCGUAUCAGUUUGCUCACCUAAGCCAACUUCUCUGGAUAUACUUGGACCAUAAUCACAUUUCUGCAGUUGACAGCCGAGCAUUUCAGGGUGUGCGCAGGCUUAAGGAGCUGAUACUUAGCUCCAACAGGAUCACAUCACUGCACAACUCAACAUUCCAUGGAAUUCCCAACCUGCGCAGUCUGGACUUAUCAUACAACAAAUUGGAAAUCCUGCAACCAGGUCAAUUCCAUGGCCUACGAAAGAUGCAAACCCUACACCUACGCUCCAAUGGGCUGUCCAAUAUCCCAAUCCGAGCAUUCCUGGAGUGCAGAAGUUUGGAGUUUCUAGAUUUAGGCUACAAUCGAAUCAAAGCCCUUACCCGCACCACCUUUUUGGGUCUGCAGAAGCUGAUGGAGUUGCAUUUGGAGCACAACCAGUUCUCAAGGAUUAACUUUUUUCUGUUUCCACGCUUAGCCAACCUGCGGUCACUCUAUCUCCAGUGGAACCGCAUCAAGGUAGUCAACCAGGGCCUUCCAUGGACUUGGUAUACACUGCAGAAACUGGAUCUUUCUGGAAAUGAAAUCCAGACUUUGGACCCAGCUGUGUUUCAUUGCCUGCCCAAUCUUCAAGUCCUCAAUUUGGAAUCCAACAAAUUGUCAAAUGUGUCUCAGGAGGCUGUGUCGGCAUGGAUCUCAUUGACCUCCAUCAGCCUUGCUGGGAACAUGUGGGAUUGUGGAACUGGCAUAUGCCCACUUGUGGCUUGGCUAAGGAAUUUUCGAGGCAGUAAAGACCCUACGAUGAUAUGCAGUAGCCCAAAGUUUCUCCAGGGAGAAAAGGUUAUGGAAGCCACAAGGAAUCAUGGCAUUUGUGAGGAAACGGACUAUGUUCUAACUGAAACACCCUCACCAACAGCAGAGCUAAUUUCAGAAGCAACUCCUGAACCAACCUUUGCGGUUCCUACUAGCAACGCUCCGCCAAUGCCACCGACUAACACUCUCAACCAUCUCCCUCCAUUCAGACCUCAACCAGCUCCUUAUCCCACCUUCCCAGGCCAUAUCAGCAAAGAUCCCAGAGACUCCAUUGCUCGCACUCGACCCACUCUAGGACCACCUCUGGAGAUGGAGCACAUGACUCUGCACAAAGUGGUUGUGGGCAGCGUUGCACUUUUCUUCACCCUAUCGCUCAUCCUGACAAUUGUCUACGUGUUAUGGCGGCGCUAUCCCGGUGCUACCCGUUUGCUGCAGGAGCAACCCAUGGUUGGGCGGAAGCGUCGCAAAAAGAGCCCAGAGCCAGAACAGAACCUGAGUUCCCAGCUUCAAGAGUAUUACAUGAGUUACAACCCUGCUGCCACACCAGAGGCACUGGAAGUGCUCGGCAAUGGCACCGGUUCCUGCACUUGCACACUUUCUAGAUCAAGGGAGUGUGAGGUAUGACCCAUCGCAUCAACCUAAACUUAAAAACUCAAAUCAAAACACAAAGGCUCAACAAAGAGAGUGAGUAUACGUGUCCACGCCCUCUACCUGGUGCCUGGCUAGGAGACGUGCCGACCAUCCGUUAAGCCGCAAAGAAACAAAGUGCUUUGGAUUGUGUAGCAGACUGCAGUGACACGAGAACAUGAGGUGGGUACAGAGACUCCCUACUACUCCCACUGUGUCCGUCACAUUCCAGGAGCCAAGCUCGCCUGUGCCCACGAGUGCCACCAUGGACCAAGACUAAAAGGAAAUACUUUUUCCCACUGUCAUAAGAUUUUCUGUCUCUCAGCCUGUGGUUACUGCUGCGUCCCAUCAUGCUUCACCGCCACAUGAACACUGACAGAGAUUGGUGAACGCGGUCCUGUGGCCAAUGGCAGGCAUUAAUGGAUGGCAGUAGCCACUGCAAGAGGGUGUAGAUCACAUGAUCUUUUUGACUCCAGUUAGGCAAGAGGUGAAAGACUUCACCACAUCAAGAGGCUUUAAUGAAACCCGUUAACCGGAUGCGUAGCUUGGACUACUCCGCUAACAGAACUGUAUAAAUUAAAGUGGGAUUGCAUUUUUAAUUUUUAAUUGCAUAUGCCGAGUCAUGUUAUUUCACGAUUUUCCAAAAAA